rnacentral:rRNA from 1 species
GACGAACGCUGGCGGCGUGCUUAACACAUGCAAGUCGAACGGAAAGGCCUCUUUCGGGGGGUACUCGAGUGGCGAACGGGUGAGUAACAUGUGAGUAACCUGCCCUUGACUUUGGGAUAACUUCAGGAAACUGGGGCUAAUACCGGAUAGGAGCUCCUGCUGCAUGGUGGGGGUUGGAAAGUUUCGGCGGUUGGGGAUGGACUCGCGGCUUAUCAGCUUGUUGGUGGGGUAGUGGCCUACCAAGGCUUUGACGGGUAGCCGGCCUGAGAGGGUGACCGGCCACAUUGGGACUGAGAUACGGCCCAGACUCCUACGGGAGGCAGCAGUGGGGAAUAUUGCACAAUGGGUGGAAGCCUGAUGCAGCAACGCCGUGUGCGGGAUGACGGCCUUCGGGUUGUAAACCGCUUUCGCUCAUGACGAAGCUUUGUGUGACGGUAGUGGGUAAAGAAGCACCGGCUAACUACGUG